rnacentral:lncRNA from 1 species
AACUCGAAGAGAAUGUGCUUUAGGUAUUGAAGCUUUACUCUUUGUCUGAGCAUUUAGUAAUAGAUCACUGUGCAGUACAUUUCUCCUGUGGAGGUAGCUUUGUUGUGAAAAUGUGUACUUUCUUUGCUUCAAAUCAAAUGUCAUAUUCUCCAUUCAGUUCUGUCAAUUUGAUGUUCACUUCGUAGAAUUUAUAUUAUCACUUGUAUAUAAUGGCAAGUCCAAUUACUCCUACUUUUUCAGGUUAAUUGAGCAACCAUAGUCCAUCAGCUAACUUUUUGUCCCACAUUCCCACUUCUUGUAAAUCGAUGCACAUACUAGUUACUACCUAAUAACCUAUUACUUAGUCCUUGUGCAACCAUAAGAAACCAUGCAAAAACAAACAUGCUAUUCUAUCCAUGGUUACUACCUAAUAAACUAUUACUUAAUCGUUGUGCAACCAUAAGAAACCAUGCAAAAACAAACAUGCUAUUCUAUCCGUAAGGCAGUGAAUAGUUGGCUAGUUCACUUUGUAAACUAGUAUUAUUUAUUCAAGUGAAAUUUUCGUUUAAUUCUAUUGUAGCUUACGAACUUCCAUGCAAGUUCUAAUAGUGUUUUUUUUUCUUUCAGAAGACCUCAUGGUCAUGCUUGUGUGUGGUUCUGAUCUAUUAGAAUCUUUCAGCACACCUGGAGUUUGGAUACCGGAGCAGGUAACUUCAUUUAAAGGGGUUUAUCAGAAGCAAAAUACUUCCUCCCCCAUGUUGGAUUGAAGUUAUGCUACACCUGGAGUUUGGAUACCUGAGCAGGUAACUUCAUUUAAAGGGGUUUAUCAGAAGCAAAAUACUUCCUCCUCCAUAUUGGAUUGAAGUUAUGCUCUUAGAAGUGUUGUGCAGAA